AUGAGUGUUAAUGUGGAGGAAGAGGAGGACAGAGCAGAGUCUCCAGUGUCCAGCUGUCUGUCUAUGAAGAGUGACCGGUCCAAAAAUGAACCUAUCUCCUUCAGUAAUGAACCCUCAGACACACAAGUUCAGUCCAACAGACGGAGAACAGAGUCUCCAGUGUCCAGCUGUCUGUCUAUGAAGAGUGACUGGUCCAAAGAUCAACCUCUACGCUUCAGUAAUGGACCCUCAGACACACAAGAGAGGAAGAGGAGUCCUGUUCCUGUGGAGGAGCAGCUGUCUUGCUGUGUUUUGUGUCAGGAUGUCCUGAAGGAUCCAGUCUCUACCAGCUGUGGACACUGGUUCUGCAGACAGUGCAUCACCUCAUACUGGGACCAGUCUGGUUCACCAGGAGACGCCUCCUGUCCCCAGUGUGGAAAAAGACCCAGAACAAGAGCUGGACUGCAGACAGACAAUGAGUCCAGCACUGUACAAAGUAAGACUGUAUAUGUGUCUGCUGGUGUCGUCUGAAAACACUACUAAUUAUUUAAUACAUUAGUUGUGUCAUACAGCACUUAAGAUCUUUAGAAAUAUCUUUACUUUUUUACGUUUUUUCUGCUCCAGCAUAAAUAUCUCCUCUGUAUCACUUGUUGCGUGUUCUUGUUUGUGAGAAAGUUAAAAUCAAAAAUAAUUUAUAUUUAAUAUAUUUCAGUCAGAAUGCUGUUUGCUGUCUGUCGUAAUAGAUGAAGACAGAAAACUAUUAAACUAUAUAAAGCAGUAAGUUCUAUCAGUCACACAGACUAACCGCCAUAAAGCAGCCUGAGAAAUGACUAGAGACACUGCUAAUGUCUGCUUCUUCUCUAACUGACAAACACAUCUCAUCAUGCAGAUCAAAUUCUAAGUUGAAACAAGUAAAGAUUUUUCAAAAUGAUAAAGCCUAGCAUGGUAAUACAUCUUGCUUAGUCGACUAGUAAUCGUUAGAGAAAGACAAUAGUUGACUAGUUGUUGUACGUUUAUGAUGAAUUGAUGAAUUUAAUUAUUUCAAUCUCUCUAUGUGAACAGCAGCCUGNNNNNNNNNNNNNNNNNNNNNNNNNNNNNNNNNNNNNNNNNNNNNNNNNNNNNNNNNNNNNNNNNNNNNNNNNNNNNNNNNNNNNNNNNNNNNNNNNNNNAAAUAAAUAAAAGUAAUUCAACGUAACUCACUCACCGUCCUCAGACAUUACCGGUCGAGGAAAUAGGACAACAACUUCAGUUUCUUCUGCAUGUUUAGAAGGCUCGCUCUGAUUGGCUGUUUGGGUCACUGCGUGAACCAAUAGCGUUCGACGUCACAUAACACUGAGGGAGUUUGUAGUCCGAAAGCGCGCCAGUGUGCUGCAACCAGAGCUGAAGGUUAAUGGUUGUGUGUCUCAAUGGUUGUGUGUGUUAAUGGUUGUGUGUGUUAAUGGUUGUGUGUGUUAAUGGUUGUGUGUCUCAAUGGUUGUGUGUCUCAAUGGUUGUGUGUCUUAAUGGUUGUGUGUGUUAAUGGUUGUGUAUUUUAAUGGUUGUGUAUUUUAAUGGUUGUGUGUCUCAAUGGUUGUGUGUCUUAAUGGUUGUGUGUGUUAAUGGUUGUGUAUUUUAAUGGUUGUGUGUGUUAAUGGUUGUGUGUGUUAAUGGUUGUGUGUCUUAAUGGUUGUGUGUGUUAAUGGUUGUAUAUUUUAAUGGUUGUGUAUCUUUAUGGUUGUGUGUCUCAAUGGUUGUGUGUCUUAAUGGUUGUGUAUUUUAAUGGUUGUAUAUUUGAAUGGUUGUGUGUCUUAAUGGUUGUGUAUUUUAAUGGUUGUAUAUUUUAAUGGUUGUGUAUUUUAAUGGUUGUGUAUUUUAAUGGUUGUGUAUCUUAAUGGUUGUGUAUUUUAAUGGUUGUAUAUUUUAAUGGUUGUGUAUUUUAAUGGUUGUGUAUCUUAAUGGUUGUGUAUUUUAAUGGUUGUGUAUCUUUAUGGUUGUGGCUGAGUCCAGUCAAAAAUAAGUGACUGGACUCAAACAAAUGGUAUUAACACACAAUCACGGUCACUUUUUGGACCGUUUAAUACACUACUUGCACUAUUAGUACUGUACAGUUCACAUACACAUUCAUAUAUAUAUAUAGAUUAUAUUUUCUGCUAAGUUACCGCUGUAUAUAUAUAGUUUUGUUCCGUGCAAUUAUUUAUUUUUACACCAUACCACUACCUCCUGCUGUAACCUGUGCAAUAUUCUAUAUCAGUCACAUNCUGUAUAGAAGCUGUAUAUAGUGUACAUACAACUC
rnacentral:lncRNA from 15 species